UACGGAGGGUGCAAGCGUUAAUCGGAAUUACUGGGCGUAAAGCGCGCGUAGGCGGCUGGAUAAGUCGAUUGUGAAAGCCCCGGGCUCAACCUGGGAAUUGCAGUCGAGACUGUUCGGCUAGAGUGUGGGAGAGGGCAGUGGAAUUCCCGGUGUAGCGGUGAAAUGCGUAGAUAUCGGGAGGAACAUCAGUGGCGAAGGCGGCGAUCUGGGUCGAUACUGACGCUGAGGUGCGAAAGCGUGGGGAGCAAACAGG
rnacentral:rRNA from 1 species